CUGCGAUGAUGACUAUCUUAGGACACCUUUGGAUGAAUGAUGAAACUAAACUCUAUAAAUCUGAGCAGC